AUUGAACGCUGGCGGCAGGCCUAACACAUGCAAGUCGAGCGGAUGAAGGGAGCUUGCUCCUGGAUUCAGCGGCGGACGGGUGAGUAAUGCCUAGGAAUCUGCCUGGUCUUGGGGGAUAACGUCCGGAAACGGGCGCUAAUACCGCAUACGUCCUGAGGGAGAAAGUGGGGGAUCUUCGGACCUCACGCUAUCAGCUGAGCCUAGGUCGGAUUAGCUAGUUGGUGGGGUAAAGGCCUACCAAGGCGACGAUCCGUAACUGGUCUGAGAGGAUGAUCAGUCACACUGGAACUGAGACACGGUCCAGACUCCUACGGGAGGCAGCAGUGGGGAAUAUUGGACAAUGGGCGAAAGCCUGAUCCAGCCAUGCCGCGUGUGUGAAGAAGGUCUUCGGAUUGUAAAGCACUUUAAGUUGGGAGGAAGGGCAGUAAGUUAAUACCUGGCUGUCUUGACGUUACCAACAGAAUAAGCACCGGCUAACUUCGUG
rnacentral:rRNA from 1 species